rnacentral:tRNA from 1 species
GCAGAUGUAGCCAAGUGGAUCAAGGAAGUUGUUGCGAAUACACCAUGCACGUGUUCAAUUCCCGUCGUUUUCC